rnacentral:rRNA from 1 species
UAACCGUGAGCGCGUGCGAAGCCGGUUUAUACGGCCAGCUCGCGUCUCUAAUGCGGUAACCGUUUUGUUGCCCGGUGCGGCCAGCUUAUGCACGUCUGAGGGCGGACAUACUGGCCCGUCACCGAGGCCGAUCACAAUGAAUUAACCUGACAAUUUAAGUGUGCGACUUUAAAUUUUGAAACACGGGGCUAUUAUCGCUCCCGGCAACUAUACGGCUCGUCGAGGCGUUGCCUUUUCGAGACCGGUAAGCAGACUGGGAUGAACUUGAAAUUCGGGGUGCCGCCACUGUGCUGCCCCUUAUCUCGACCCUCGGAGACUUUUUGACGGGCGCACUCCUCACUCCAGUCGGAGUGUUGUAGUCGUCUUCAAAAGGCCGCCUGGGUUACCUGGUUGAUCCUGCCAGUAGUCAUAUGCUUGUCUCAAAGCUUAAGCCAUGCAAGUCUCAGUGCAAACUUAAUUAAAGUGAAACCGCGAAAAGCUCAUUAAAUCAGUUAUGGUUCAGUUGAGCAUCCACCUUAAGUGGAUAACUGUGGUAAUCCUAGAGCUAAUACAUGCAAUUCAGUCCCGUUCAGUGAUGGUAAGGACGCUUUUAUUAGAUCAAAACCAAUCGGACCGGGUUCGCCCGUGUCCGUUUGCCUUUUGAUGACUCUUGGUAACAGCCACAUCGCACGGUCCUAGUACCGGCGAUUCGUCUUUCAAAUGACUGACUUAUCAACUGUCGAUGGUAGAUUUUAUGUCUACCAUGGUUUUCACGGGUAACGGGGAAUCAGGGUUCGAUUCCGGAGAGGGAGCCUGAGACACUGCUACCACAUCCAAGGAAGGCAGCAGGCACGCAAAUUACCCACUCCCGGCACGGGGAGGUAGUGACAAAAAAUAACGAUACGGGACUCAUCCGAGGCCCCGUAAUCGGAAUGAGUACACUUUAAAUCCUUUAACAAGGAUCCAUUGGAGGGCAAGUCUGGUGCCAGCAGCCGCGGUAAUUCCAGCUCCAAUAGCGUAUAUUAAAACUGUUGCGGUUAAAAAGCUCGUAGUUGGUUCUGUGUGCCACGCUGUCGGUUCACCGCCUGCCGGUGCAACUGACAUGUCGUGGGAUGUCUUGCCGGAGGGGGCCGAAACUCUUCACACGGCUAAGGCCGUUGUUGGGUUGAGGUCCUCGCAAUGCUGCCACGGUGCUCUUUACCGAGUGUCGGGGCAGGCCGGCAAGAUUACUUUGAACAAAUUAGAGUGCUUAAAGCAGGCUUAAUGUUGCCUGAAUAGUAGUGCAUGGAAUAAUGGAACAGGAUCUUGAUUCUGUUUUGUUGGCUUUCGGAACUCAAGGUAAUGAUCAAUGUGGACAAGCGGGGGCAUUCGUAUUGCGACGUUAGAGGUGAAAUUCUUGGAUCGUCGCAAGACGCACUAGAGCGAAAGCAUUUGCCAAGUAUGUCUUAGUUGAUCAGAACGAAAGUUAGAGGUUCGAAGGCGAUCAGAUACCGCCCUAGUUCUAACCAUAAACGAUGCCAGCCAGCAAUCCGCCGAUGUUCCUCCGAUGACUCGGCGGGCAACCCCCGGGAAACCAAAGCUUUUGGGUUCCGGGGGAAGUAUGGUUGCAAAGCUGAAACUUAAAGGAAUUGACGGAAGGGCACCACCAGGAGUGGAGCCUGCGGCUUAAUUUGACCCAACACGGGGAACCUCACCAGGCCCAGACAUUGGAAGGAUUGACAGAUUGAUAGCUCUUUCUUGAUUCAAUGGGUAGUGGUGCAUGGCCGUUCUUAGUUGGUGGAACGAUUUGUCUGGUUAAUUCCGAUAACGAACGAGACUCUAGCUUAUUAACUAGGCGUCCGGUAUCUUCGGCUACCGGCGAUACAAUAUCUUCUUAAAGGGAAACGAGGCGCUUAGCCUCACGAGAUUGAGCAAUAACAGGUCUGUGAUGCCCUUAGAUGUUCUGGGCCGCACGCGCGCUACACUGAAGGAAUCAGCGUGUUCCUCCCUGGCCGAAAGGCCCGGGUAACCCGCUGAAACUCCUUCGUGCUUGGAAUUGGGGAUUGCAAUUGUUCCCCAUGAACGAGGAAUUCCCAGUAAGCGCGAGUCAUAAGCUCGCGUUGAUUACGUCCCUGCCCUUUGUACACACCGCCCGUCGCUACUACCGAUUGAAUGAUUUAGUGAGGUCUUCGGACUGGUGACAACUGGCUGCGCCUCGGUGUAAGCCGGUGUUGCCGGAAAGAUGACCAAACUUGAUCAUUUAGAGGAAGUAAAAGUCGUAACAAGGUUUCCGUAGGUGAACCUGCGGAAGGAUCAUUAAUUUGAUAGACACUAAUGAUUCGGAUAAACGUGGCCUUUUACACACCAUGUUGAAUCCUUUAGCGCUCGUGUGAGCGAGGGCGGCUUAUGACUGCCGGUCUUCUCAACAUAGUGGCGCAGGCGGACUGGUUUGGUCUCGACUUGCUUGGCCGGUGAGGCAACUUCUUCACUGUGUGCCGUAAGCGAGAUGAGAUCAGGACUGCCGCGUCUGACUCUCUGCGUUCUUCGAAAAAUUUUUUUACCUCGGCUCGGGGGUUCGGCCCAGUCGGGUCGUCCACUCCGGGUUGUUGGUGAAAUAAGGCUUUGAAGAACGAAAGCUGAGUCACAAGGAGUAGGAAGAUUGCACGGCAUUGUCUGGCGCUAUGGUUCGCUCUCACGGCGGGGAGCACUUGGCCGAAGGUGCGGUCCGGACGGACUCUUCCGGGGUAUGGACCCGUCAUCUUCUAGCGAGAGGCUCACUAUGUUUCAAUUCCUCCCUCGGGAGGCUUGUUUCUGUGAUUCCUCACAACGGGAGGUGACUAUGGGGCAUGCUCGCGGGUUGCUCGUCCGGGCCUAUCCGGCGGUCGGGUUAUCUCCGUUAAGAAAGAGGGGUUGAUCCUGGUGCCGCCUUGCUUUGCGGCUUUUUAACUCUGGUGGCCUUGCCUGCCUGGCCAGGGACUCUCUCGAGAGCCCGAAUUCGGUGGGUCAUAUAAUUUUAUUAAAAAAACUGAUUACCCUGAACGGUGGAUCACUCGGCUCGUGGGUCGAUGAAGGACGCAGCGAAAUGCGCGUCAACAUGUGAACUGCAGGACACAUGAACAUUGACAAUCCUAACGCCCAUGGCGGCCCUUGAGGUCAAACCUCGGGGGUCACACCUGUCUGAGAGUCGUUAGAGAAAGGUUCAAGGAGGGUCUCUCCCAGGAGAGCGCCUCUGGGCCAAGACACUUGUCGGUUUUAACUCCGACGUGCUGGGGGCCGCGCGUCCUUCUCUUCCCCGACGGGGUUGGAGGGACGUGAGCUCCUUAAAUAAGUCUGGGAUCGAAGGAUAACCAGCCGUGAGCGGAUCAGCUCAGGCCAUCCGCGUCUGACGCUCCAGCGUUUGGCGUCGCGUCCAGGAUUCGCAGGUCGGCAGCGCUGUCUCGCAUGUGUAAGACAACGGGCCGUUGUGUGGAAAAGCCUGUAUGGGUUUUUCCCGCGACGGACAUCCGUGUUUGCGCAGAGAUGGCUAGGCCGAAGCGAAACCUGACCCUUAAGGGGAAGGGUACGCGACGUCUGGACCUUGGUAUCACGUGUCUGAUGCGGGUGGGCGAGUUUGGUUCUGGCUCCUUGGCUGGUUAGCGCCUUCACUGUGUGCCGUAAGCGGGCUAAGCUUAGGACUGCCACGUCCGAGGCGGGGCGAGACGAAGCGUGUCCGGGGGAAUGCCACUCUGUGUUCGUAGAGCACAGAGGGUGUAGCUCUUGGGCCACUCCGUUGGUCCCCUGCCUUGGCCUAGGCGGCCUGGUUUGGUUCUAGUUUGCAUGGCCGGUGAAGGGCCUGAAUCAGCUGAAGGACUAUUGCGUACAGAGGAUUAGCCAUCCGGAGGGCCGCCCUCAUACGUGGAUGACAACGGGCCGUUGUGUGGAGAGCCUUAGGGUUCUCCCCGCGGACAUCCGUGCUUGCACAGAAGGUGGGCCGGGGCCGGAGCGAAACUUUGUGCGCGACGUCUGAACGUUGGGUUCUGGCUUGCUCGCCUUCGCCCGGACGGCUUAUGCCUUGUGGUUGCAACGCAGCCUCGAGGCAGAUAGCCGUAGCCGUGAGGUCCUCAAGAGGGCCCCACACUCACUCACGCGACCUCAGAUCAGGUGAGGGUACCCGCUGAAUUUAAGCAUAUUAGUAAGCGGAGGAAAAGAAACUAACAAGGAUUCCCUUAGUAGCGGCGAGCGAAGAGGGAAGAGCCCAGCACUGAAUCUCUGGUACCCUGCGUGCCAGCGAAAUGUAGUGUUUAGGAGGGUCCUAUCCGUGGAUCGCCGUGCCGAGUCCAAGUCCUUCUUGAACGGGGCCACGGUCCGCAGAGGGUGCCAGACCCGUAGCGGCCGACGGCGUCCGCGGGUGGACCUCUCCUUAGAGUCGGUUUGCUUGAGAAUGCAGACUAAAGUGGGUGGUAAACUCCAUCUAAGGCUAAAUACAAUCACGAGACCGAUAGUCAACAAGUACCGUGAGGGAAAGUUGAAAAGAACUUUGAAGAGAGAGUUCAAGAGUACGUGAAACCGCUCAGGGGUAAACGGAUAAGACCCGAAACACCGAAAAGGGAGAUUCACGUCUCCACGUGGUGGUCGGCCCGCGCUCUGGGAGACGGC